UACGGAGGGGGCUAGCGUUGUUCGGAAUUACUGGGCGUAAAGCGCACGUAGGCGGCUUUGCAAGUUAGAGGUGAAAGCCUGGGGCUCAACUCCAGAACUGCCUUUAAAACUGCAUCGCUUGAAUCCAGGAGAGGUGAGUGGAAUUCCGAGUGUAGAGGUGAAAUUCGUAGAUAUUCGGAAGAACACCAGUGGCGAAGGCGACUUACUGGACGAUUGUUGACGCUGAGGUGCGAAAGCGUGGGGAGCAAACAGG
rnacentral:rRNA from 1 species